UCCACUGCCCUUCCCUCCUGUCUGCCCGCACGUUUCCGAAACUGUGAAGUCGGGGAAGGGCUUUUGUUGGUCACUUUGUGCACAGCAAAAAUGUGCCGCCAUGGAUGGAAUCUCAUUUUCCAAGGGUUCAAAGGGAGAGGCACACGCUGGGGGUGGACAAGCCCUGCGCCCUGCUGGGGUGCGCAGUGUGAACGAUUGCUUUGUGUAGCGGAAUCCUUCUUGGAAAUGCUUCCCAUGGGAUCAGUCGUGUUGAUUUGCCAUUUUUUCACAUUUCCAUUGAUAGAUGAGAUGGGAAACCCUUUGCUCUCCCUCCUUCUGCGCUCCUCCUCGUGGGCACGAAACCUCAGGGCUGUGAAAUCUACACCCUGAGCCGUGCUCAGGGCAAUAUUAACCCCAAAAUGAAACCUGCAUGUGAGGACCGGGUGAUGCACAGCUCAUGCACUGAAAAGAGUUUCGGUUUUGGUGAAAGGGUUGCAACAGCCCGGGUGCUGCCUCGCUCCUCCAACAUUACCUCAACGAGACCCCCCCACACUGCAGGGACACGUGAAACACUGCAAUAGAUGGUAACAAAAAAAUGCAAAUCCUGAUUGCAGCUCCGAUCGCAAGAGAGGAAAAAGGUCUGAAAUCAGAACCAAGCCUAUUACAUCUAAAUUCUGCAGGGCAGGUAAAAUCCUGGCUUGGUGACAGCGCUGUCAGGAGUGAGUCAUGUGUGUGACAUCACACCGGCACUGUGCAGGCGGUGGCUGAGGCAGCGGCACUUUCUGUGACGUGCAACCAGGAGCUCCAGCAAGGACAGCAGGACACCGGAGCAGAUGACGGGAUGUGUGGGGCUCGGCUAUUGCUACCCCACAUAGCCGAAAGAACUGCAGAGGAACGGUGGGGGGUGUCCCCCAGGGGAUGCUCUGCAGCAGGGUGGUGUCACACCUCAGGGAUGCUCUCCCAAAGCCCCGUGGAGGUGAUGGUGGUGGGGCACGAGCUGCUCUGUUUGUGCAUGCGACAAGCAGUGACAUCCCUGGGCUGCGUGUUAGUGUCCCAGCCAACCCAGGCUCUUCCAGGCACGUGCUCUGGUGAAUAUCAACUUAAGAAAAGAAACAUGCCUGGCAAGGUGGAACAGCUACAGGAUGUUUUCAUGGGGAGCUUUGGGAAAGCAGCUUUGGGUGGAGGAAUAAUUAAGUUUUUGGAUACCUUUCUCAGGUCUCGAGCCCUGAUGUGACCCCUGGCACUGCCACCCUGCUGGUGGCAAUCUGGGCAUCAGCGUGGCUCUGGCUCCCUGGGCUUUGGGCAUCACUUGUCCCCGGUGCGCCGGGUGAAGCUGAGCCUGAGAGGCAGAGAGGAGCCUGAAUUUCAGAAUUAUUACAGUGGUUUUGGUUAGAAACGUGACUGAGAAGAGGGCACACAAUGUACCACACCUAUCAGCCAAUUACUCCGCGCAGAACUCUCUCUGAGUCAUUUGACGAGUUUACCGAGAAAAACAAUUUUCUACUUUUGUCAGCAGCUGUGGCUGAGCGGGCGGUGAGGUUGCUCUGAUAGCAGCUCCCUGGUUUCUGUCGAUAAUGGAUUGCACUAAUUAAGAGAGAGCAGAGCAGUCAGAUUUUCGGGGCUUGGAUAAAGCACAGCAGCAGGUUUCCAUGCGAGCAGCAGCUAACUGAGGCAGGGACUGUCCUCAGGGCAACCCUUGGGUCUGCAGUCCCCAUUAGUUUCAAUGGGGCUUGAGAUGGGCUCUGGAUUUGAGGGUCAGGCGGUUGCCUGACAAUGACCCUUGACAUUUGGUGAGGAUCUUGGUUAGCUGCAGGAUCACCAGUGGUGAUGGCAAACUCUACCUCGUGCUUUUCUCAAACAUUUGCCCUCAGUUUGUGUGGAUGCUCUCCUGAAGCACAGCAGAAAUUGUUCCCUGAGCUCAGAUAUUGUCGCAGCUCUCCACUAUUGCAUCUGGAUUUUUCUUUUAUUAAAAUGAGUGCUGGCAUUUCUGUCAUUCAUGUCGUCUCAUUCUGGGGAUCUGUGUACGAAUCAUUAUCAGCUUCAGAUCUGAUAUGAUGGAGUACCUAAAACUGCUGUGAAAUGAGUAAUGCAACCAAAUGACAAACCGAGGAUGGUCUGCAAAGCAUUAUCAGCUCUUAUAGCAUGAAACUACAUUGAGAUGUGCUAUUGAAACAUACAUUAUCACUCUGAAAUCCUUUACUGGAAAUCUAGACUUUACACAUGCAUGCGGUCAGUCAUUGACAGAGCAGCUCCUAUUCAGGUCAGAGUAUCUUGG